UACGUAGGGGGCUAGCGUUGUCCGGAAUCAUUGGGCGUAAAGCGCGCGUAGGCGGCCCGAUAAGUCUGCUGUGAAAGUCCAGGGCUCAACCCUGGAAUGCCGGUGGAUACUGUCGGGCUAGAGUUCGGAAGAGGGCAAGUGGAAUUCCUGGUGUAGCGGUGGAAUGCGCAGAUAUCAGGAGGAACACCUAUAGCGAAGGCAGCUUGCUGGGACGACACUGACGCUGAGGCGCGAAAGCGUGGGGAGCAAACAGG
rnacentral:rRNA from 1 species